UACGGGGGGGCAAGCGUUGUUCGGAAUUACUGGGCGUAAAGGGCUUGUAGGUGGCCAACUAAGUCAGACGUGAAAUCCCUCGGCUUAACCGGGGAACUGCGUCUGAUACUGGAUGGCUGGAGUGUGGGAGAGGGAUGCGGAAUUCCAGGUGUAGCGGUGAAAUGCGUAGAUAUCUGGAGGAACACCGGUGGCCGAAGGCGGCAUCCUGGACCAUUACUGACACUGAAAGCGAAAGCCAGGGGAGCAAACGGG
rnacentral:rRNA from 1 species